rnacentral:rRNA from 1 species
GACGAACGCUGGCGGCGUGCCUAACACAUGCAAGUCGAACGGAGAAGCUCCAGCUUGCUGGAGUGGAUCAGUGGCGAACGGGUGAGUAACACGUGAGCAACCUGCCCCUGACUCUGGAAUAAGCGCUGGAAACGGCGGCUAAUACUGGAUACGAGAAGGGUCCGCACGGGCACUUUCUGGAAAGGUGGUCGGUUGGGGAAGGUUUCGCGGCCUAUGAGCUUGUUGGUGAGGUAAUGGCUCACAAAGGCGACGACGGGUAGCCGGCCUGGGAGGGCGGCCGGCCACACUGCGACUGAGAGACGGCCCAGCCUCCUACGGGAGGCAGCGGUGGGGAGUAUUGCGCAACGGGCGAAAGCCUGAUGCGGCGACGCCGCGUGAGGGAUACCGGCCUUCGGGUUGUAAACCUCUUUCCGCAGAGAAGAAGCGAUAGUGACGGUACCUGCAGAAGAAGCCCCGGCUAACUACGUG